rnacentral:rRNA from 1 species
AUGCUCGGCGCCGUCCUCCGGAUGCGGCUCCGCGUGCUCCGCCGCCACCUCCGCCUCCGCCUCCACGGCCGCAGGCGGCGGCGGCGCUGUCGGUCCCGGAGAGGGGGCGGCGGCGCGGCGGGGGGCGAGGAGGAGGGGGUGCGCGAGCCGGUGCUGCUCGUGUCCGGGAUGGGCGGGUCGGUGCUGCACGCGCGGCGGCGGUCCGACCCCAAGUUCGACCUCCGGGUCUGGGUGCGCAUCCUCCUCGCCGACCUCGAGUUCAAGAAGUUCCUCUGGUCGCUCUACAACGCCAAAACCGGGUAUGUGGAGUCGUUGGACGACGAUGUGGAGAUUGUGGUGCCGGGCGACGAUCAUGGCCUCUUCGCCAUCGACGUUCUCGAUCCUUCCUGGUUUGUAGAGCUACUGCAUCUGACUAUGGUGUAUCAUUUCCAUGAUAUGAUUGAUAUGCUCCUUGACUGUGGAUACGAGAAAGGAACAACACUAUUUGGAUAUGGUUAUGAUUUUCGUCAAAGCAACAGGUACAAUCCUCUAAAUCAACACUUAAGUGGGUUCAUUUGGAUGCUAUAA